rnacentral:rRNA from 1 species
UACGAAGGGUGCAAGCGUUACUCGGAAUUACUGGGCGUAAAGCGUGCGUAGGUGGUGAGUUAAGUCUGUCGUGAAAGCCCCCGGGCUCAACCUGGGAAUGGCGAUGGAUACUGGCUCGCUAGAGUGCGGUAGAGGAGAGUGGAAUUCCCGGUGUAGCAGUGAAAUGCGUAGAGAUCGGGGAGGAACACCGGUGGCGAAGGCGGCAUCCUGGGACCAAUUCUGACGCUGAGGAGCGAAAGCCAGGGGAGCAAACGGGG